rnacentral:rRNA from 1 species
UGCUUAAACAUGCAAGUCGAACGAUGAUGCCCAGCUUGCUGGGUGGAUUAGUGGCGAACGGGUGAGUAACACGUGAGUAACCUGCCCCUGACUCUGGGAUAAGCGUUGGAAACGACGUCUAAUACUGGAUAUGACUGCCGGCCGCAUGGUCUGGUGGUGGAAAGAUUUUUUGGUUGGGGAUGGACUCGCGGCCUAUCAGCUUGUUGGUGAGGUAAUGGCUCACCAAGGCGACGACGGGUAGCCGGCCUGAGAGGGUGACCGGCCACACUGGGACUGAGACACGGCCCAGACUCCUACGGGAGGCAGCAGUGGGGAAUAUUGCACAAUGGGCGAAAGCCUGAUGCAGCAACGCCGCGUGAGGGAUGACGGCCUUCGGGUUGUAAACCUCUUUUAGUAGGGAAGAAGCGAAAGUGACGGUACCUGCAGAAAAAGCACCGGCUAACUACGUGCCAGCAGCCGCGGUAAUACGUAGGGUGCAAGCGUUGUCCGGAAUUAUUGGGCGUAAAGAGCUCGUAGGCGGUUUGUCGCGUCUGCUGUGAAAUCCCGAGGCUCAACCUCGGGCUUGCAGCGGGUACGGGCAGACUAGAGUGCGGUAGGGGAGAUUGGAAUUCCUGGUGUAGCGGUGGAAUGCGCAGAUAUCAGGAGGAACACCGAUGGCGAAGGCAGAUCUCUGGGCCGUAACUGACGC